AACGAACGCUGGCGGCAGGCCUAACACAUGCAAGUCGAGCGGACCCUUCGGGGUUAGCGGCGGACGGGUGAGUAACGCGUGGGAAUAUGCCCUUCUCUACGGAAUAGUCCUGGGAAACUGGGGGUAAUACCGUAUACGCCCUUUGGGGGAAAGAUUUAUCGGGGAAGGAUUAGCCCGCGUUGGAUUAGGUAGUUGGUGGGGUAAUGGCCUACCAAGCCGACGAUCCAUAGCUGGUUUGAGAGGAUGAUCAGCCACACUGGGACUGAGACACGGCCCAGACUCCUACGGGAGGCAGCAGUGGGGAAUCUUAGACAAUGGGGGCAACCUUGAUCUAGCCAUGCCGCGUGAGUGAUGAAGGCCUUAGGGUUGUAAAGCUCUUUCAGCUGGGAAGAUAAUGACGGUACCAGCAGAAGAAGCCCCGGCUAACUCCGUG
rnacentral:rRNA from 1 species